GUAGGGCGGGACACGUGGUAUCCUGUCUGAAUAUGGGGGGACCAUCCUCCAAGGCUAAAUACUCCUGACUGACCGAUAGUGAACCAGUACCGUGAGGGAAAGGCGAAAAGAACCCCGGCGAGGGGAGUGAAAAAGAACCUGAAACCGUGUACGUACAAGCAGUGGGAGCCUCUUUAUGGGGUGACUGCGUACCUUUUGUAUAAUGGGUCAGCGACUUAUAUUCUGUAGCAAGGUUAACCGAAUAGGGGAGCCGAAGGGAAACCGAGUCUUAACUGGGCGUUAAGUUGCAGGGUAUAGACCCGAAACCCGGUGAUCUAGCCAUGGGCAGGUUGAAGGUUGGGUAACACUAACUGGAGGACCGAACCGACUAAUGUUGAAAAAUUAGCGGAUGACUUGUGGCUGGGGGUGAAAGGCCAAUCAAACCGGGAGAUAGCUGGUUCUCCCCGAAAGCUAUUUAGGUAGCGCCUCGUGAAUUCAUCUCCGGGGGUAGAGCACUGUUUCGGCAAGGGGGUCAUCCCGACUUACCAACCCGAUGCAAACUGCGAAUACCGGAGAAUGUUAUCACGGGAGACACACGGCGGGUGCUAACGUCCGUCGUGAAGAGGGAAACAACCCAGACCGCCAGCUAAGGUCCCAAAGUCAUGGUUAAGUGGGAAACGAUGUGGGAAGGCCCAGACAGCCAGGAUGUUGGCUUAGAAGCAGCCAUCAUUUAAAGAAAGCGUAAUAGCUCACUGGUCGAGUCGGCCUGCGCGGAAGAUGUAACGGGGCUAAACCAUGCACCGAAGCUGCGGCAGCGACACUAUGUGUUGUUGGGUAGGGGAGCGUUCUGUAAGCCUGUGAAGGUGGCCUGUGAGGGUUGCUGGAGGUAUCAGAAGUGCGAAUGCUGACAUAAGUAACGAUAAAGCGGGUGAAAAGCCCGCUCGCCGGAAGACCAAGGGUUCCUGUCCAACGUUAAUCGGGGCAGGGUGAGUCGACCCCUAAGGCGAGGCCGAAAGGCGUAGUCGAUGGGAAACAGGUUAAUAUUCCUGUACUUGGUGUUACUGCGAAGGGGGGACGGAGAAGGCUAUGUUGGCCGGGCGACGGUUGUCCCGGUUUAAGCGUGUAGGCUGGUUUUCCAGGCAAAUCCGGAAAACCAAGGCUGAGGCGUGAUGACGAGGCACUACGGUGCUGAAGCGACAAA
rnacentral:rRNA from 1 species